rnacentral:rRNA from 1 species
AUUGAACGCUGGCGGAAUGCUUUACACAUGCAAGUCGAACGGCAGCACGGACUUCGGUCUGGUGGCGAGUGGCGAACGGGUGAGUAAUGUAUCGGAACGUGCCCAGUCGUGGGGGAUAACGUAGUGAAAAUUACGCUAAUACCGCAUACGAUCUAUGGAUGAAAGCGGGGGAUCGCAAGACCUCGCGCGAUUGGAGCGGCCGAUAUCAGAUUAGGUAGUUGGUGGGGUAAAGGCCCACCAAGCCAACGAUCUGUAGCUGGACUGAGAGGACGACCAACCAAACUGGAACUGAGACACGGUCCAGACUCCUACGGGAGGCAGCAGUGGGGAAUUUUGGACAAUGGGCGAAAGCCUGAUCCAGCCAUUCCGCGUGCAGGAUGAAGGCCCUCGGGUUGUAAACUGCUUUUGUACAGAACGAAAAGGUUUCUACUAAUACUAGGAGCUCAUGACGGUACUGUAAGAAUAAGCACCGGCUAACUACGUGCCAGCCGCCGCAGUAA